ensembl:lncRNA
CUUCUGUAGUACACACUGCCAGUAUAUUUUCCCGUUGGUCUGCUUUUAACGGUGGGACUCUGUACUUUUGCUUUUCACCUCUCACAGUUUCGCUUUUGGUUUCUUUCCUUGUUUCCUGGGGAAGGGCCGCCUCACCCUGAGAUCACCACCUGAGUUUCUUCCACUUCUUUUGUGGUUUUAUUUUUUCUAUCAACAUUUUUAUCCGUCAGGAAUUUGCGUGAGGUAGGUGUCUGUUUCCCCCAAAUGAUUAAUUAUCCGUCUCCAUUUCAUGACUAACCCAUCCUUUCUACACUAAUUAGAACUGCCACUUUUAUCGUUUAUUAGAAUCCUAUUUUGGACAUCUCUGUUAAUUUGUUAAUUCUUGUGCUAAACAAAACUAGCUUUAUUUGGGAUAGCUUUGUGAUAUAUUUUGAUAUCUGGGAACAUGUUUCUUGCUAACAUUCAUGGCCCUAUAGUGGUAUUAUUAAUGGCUAUGUAAAUGGAAAACUUAUCUAAUGAAAGUACCAGAAAAGCACACUAUUUGAAGCCUGUGGCGAUUGCUUUUGAAAUGUAAAUAGCAGCCCCAAACACUGUGUACAUUCAGAUUUUCUGGAUCUAGGCCACAGCAUGGGGAAGGGCUCCCUUUACUGAUGGAACAGGAAGUGAAGAACUGAGGACACCUCCUGCCACCCAGGGAAGGGAGUGUAAGAACUGGGCCUGCACACCCCAUGGCUCACCCUCGGGUGUGCAGGAGAGACAGACUGAGAGUCUGGUCUUGGUUUGGGUUCCCCUAGCACCCAACUCUGAGCAGGGUUUGAGUGCAAGCAGUUUCUUUGGAAGACUGUCCCCGGAAAGCAGGCUGCAACCUCAAAGAAAUGCCACAGGCUUUCAGAAACUUAAUGGCUGGCCUGUCAAGAGCGAUGACAGAAGCUAUUAUGGAAACAAGACAGGAAGAUUUUUGGAGGCAACAUCGACAGCACAGCCUCGCCAUUGGCUUCCCAGGACCAGGAGGAGGACAGCCUGGCCUCCUGCCAUCCCCAGGAAGGCCACGUGCUCAGCUCAAGAGGAGCUGAGUCAUUGCAGAUUCAAGCCACUGACUAUGGAUUGAUCACCUGUGAGGACAUUUUAAUUAACCGUCAGAUCCCUGAGCUGCCCCAUCGUUUCUGUCCUCAUCCCCUCCGUGGUCUCCAGCCACCUCCAACCCCAAUACAUGAAAAAGAAGUAGUCAGCCAACAGCACCGCAUAGCCAGAAGCACCGGAAGGUUUCAGCUGUGGGAGGGGCAGAGGGAAAGGUCCCGUGACUCCUGCAGGCUGGUCUGGUGGAUCUGGGAGCUCCCAGCGGGGUCUUGCACUGCUCAUGGCCUAUAUAACCCAGUUCUAUAGCAGAUUCACUCAGUGAGCUUGGACCAAUCACUUGGCUUCGAAGUGCCUCCAUUUCUCAUGUUUAAAAUGGAAACAAUAGCAGGAAAGGCAAAUAAAACUUGUGCAAAAAUGCUUUUAGAGCUUUGG